GCCCGUGUGGCGCAAUGGACAGCGCGUGAGACUUCUAAUCUCGGAUUCAUCUCGAGGUUCGGGGUUCAAGUCCCCGCAUGGGCG
rnacentral:tRNA from 1 species